AGCUCCGAGGGAAAACAAACCCAAAGUAGGCUAACAAUUAAACCGAAACUGAAGAAAAUUUGCUUACUGAUGAGCAGGUCAACUAAUUGCAGUGUUGUGGAGAGAGUGAUCCUCCUGACAAGUAGGCUACACUGGAUAAAGUUUUGUGAUGACGACGAUUCUGCAGCCAUCCAAGAGGAAAUCACUUCAUUUGUACUCAACAUGUUCGUGGUCACCAAAACCAGGGAUGGAGGUCUCGAGAAGCAAGCUGGAAUAGCCAUCAAGGGAGAAGAGGUCCUUUUUGGAAUUCCCAGUGUAGCACAUGCUUGCACCUAUACCUUAUGGGCAUUAUUUAUCCAAAUAAACUAAAAUACACCUUUGGAGGAAGUUAACAAAAACAUGCCCUCCAAAAUCCAGCUUAUGGCCUAAAAGUAUGACAGACGUUGUUGUUUAUAACUCUGUUUGGACUUUUUGGGACUUUGGCUUAUUCACCAUA